rnacentral:rRNA from 1 species
AGCGAACGCUGGCGGCAGGCUUAACACAUGCAAGUCGAGCGGGCACUUCGGUGUCAGCGGCAGACGGGUGAGUAACACGUGGGAACGUACCCUUUGGUUCGGAAUAACGCUGGGAAACUAGCGCUAAUACCGGAUACGCCCUUUUGGGGAAAGGCUUGCUGCCGAAGGAUCGGCCCGCGUCUGAUUAGCUAGUUGGUGGGGUAAUGGCCUACCAAGGCGACGAUCAGUAGCUGGUCUGAGAGGAUGAUCAGCCACACUGGGACUGAGACACGGCCCAGACUCCUACGGGAGGCAGCAGUGGGGAAUAUUGGACAAUGGGCGCAAGCCUGGUCCAGCCAUGCCGCGUGAGUGAUGAAGGCCUUAGGUUGGGUAUGCUCUUUGGUCCGGGACGAAAAUGACGGGACCGGAAGGAAAGGCCCCAGCUAACUAGGGU